GGGCCUAUGGCGCAACGGUAGCGCGUCUGACUCCAGAUCAGAAGGCUGGGGGUUCGAA
rnacentral:tRNA from 1 species